UCGUUCAUCAAACGUCUCCAAAUCACACCGAAAUGUCUUCCAGCAAUUAUUCUAGCGAUGAAAUUUCAUCAAGAGAUAGUGACUCCUCAUACUCCGAUGCCUCCUUAUCCCAUUUUAGUGAUUCUUCCCAAGAAAAUGAGCCCGACAAAUGUUCAAAAUAUUACUAGUCCCACUCGUAGAGAAAUGAGUUUGUUGUCGAAUGACGGAACAUCGACGAGCGGAACAUGGCCCCAGAAAACAGCUGAAAAGGAAUCGGAAAACACAACCUGCUAAAGCACCACGCAAGAAGAAGAGCAAGUCUUCCAAGUCCGAGAGUGCAUGUGUCUGCGAGAUCCAUUGAAACUAAUCAAGCUACAAUGUACAUGUAACGUACAACCACCAUUCGAUGCCUGUGAACGGCAUGACCAACAUCUGUAUCCUUUACAUUAGUAUUUGUUUCCUUUUUAUUAUGUAAUUCUUAUGUCUAAUCAUUGAGAUUCAUAGGCAAGUACAACAUGUAUGUGUACACAAUGAGUGCCUGCAUAUUGUGAAGAUAAAGGACCAUAAGACCAUUACUUAUGAUACAUGGUAAUGAUGGUAGGCCUAUACUUUGUAAAAGUAUUUGAAAAUAGUAGCAUGUAAGUCUGUCAUUUUCUUGUUUAUAUAUAUCUCAAUGACAUGACAUGUCAUUGAUUUUGUAGUGUUUCUAGAUUAUGAUGAUUGUAUUAAGAUUUUGACAGUUCAAUUGAGAUUGAGAAAAUUAUGUAACAUGUCAACUGUACUAUAGAGCAUGCAUGCAUUGUUGAAAAAUCUGUUUUAUGAUUUAUUUUAUUUUGUUAUCUUUGUAAAUAACGAGAAAAAAAA